ACGAACGCUGGCGGCAUGCCUAACACAUGCCAGUCGCACGAGACCUUCGGGUCUAGUGGCGCACGGGUGCGUAACGCGUGGGAACCUGCCCUUAGGUUCGGAAUAACUCCCCGAAAGGGGUGCUAAUACCGGAUAAUGUCUUCGGACCAAAGAUUUAUCGCCUUUGGAUGGGCCCGCGUUGGAUUAGCUAGUUGGUAGGGUAAAAGCCUACCAAGGCGACGAUCCAUAGCUGGUCUGAGAGGAUGAUCAGCCACACUGGGACUGAGACACGGCCCAGACUCCUACGGGAGGCAGCAGUAGGGAAUAUUGGACAAUGGGCGAAAGCCUGAUCCAGCAAUGCCGCGUGAGUGAUGAAGGCCUUAGGGUUGUAAAGCUCUUUUACCCGGGAUGAUAAUGACAGUACCGGGAGAAUAAGCUCCGGCUAACUCCGUG
rnacentral:rRNA from 1 species